GUUUAUUUAGUUUAUAGAAAAUAUUACUUUUUCAUAGUAAAGAAACUCCAACAAGUUAUAAAUG
rnacentral:tRNA from 1 species